rnacentral:rRNA from 1 species
UACGAAGGGGGCUAGCGUUGCUCGGAAUCACUGGGCGUAAAGGGUGCGUAGGCGGGUCUUUAAGUCAGGGGUGAAAUCCUGGAGCUCAACUCCAGAACUGCCUUUGAUACUGAGGAUCUUGAGUAUGGGAGAGGUGAGUGGAACUGCGAGUGUAGAGGUGAAAUUCGUAGAUAUUCGCAAGAACACCAGUGGCGAAGGCGGCUCACUGGCCCAUUACUGACGCUGAGGCACGAAAGCUAGGGGAGCAAACAGG